AUGACAUUAGGUUCAAUGUCCAAUCAUGUUAUUUGUUAUCCUAGCUGUCCACGCCUAGGAUUCAUGACAUUCCAGUCCUUGUUUCCAAUUUAUUGAAUUCUCUAAUUUUUCUAGAGUUCAUCGACCUAUAUUCACAUCCACUCCUAGGUAUACACACACACGCACACACGCACGCACGCACGCACGCACGCACGCAUAUAUAUAUAUAUAUAUCGCCUUUUAAGACAUAAUUCAUACAUGCAUCUUUGCCACACACAACCAACCAUUCCAUAUAUAUGCAUCAACAAGUAAUAUCAUACUUUAC
rnacentral:lncRNA from 1 species